rnacentral:rRNA from 1 species
ACGUACACUCCUACGGGAGGCAGCAGUGGGGAAUAUUGGACAAUGGGCGCAAGCCUGAUCCAGCCAUGCCGCGUGAGUGAUGAAGGCCCUAGGGUUGUAAAGCUCUUUUGUGCGGGAAGAUAAUGACGGUACCGCAAGAAUAAGCCCCGGCUAACUUCGUGCCAGCAGCCGCGGUAAUACGAAGGGGGCUAGCGUUGCUCGGAAUCACUGGGCGUAAAGGGUGCGUAGGCGGGUCUUUAAGUCAGGGGUGAAAUCCUGGAGCUCAACUCCAGAACUGCCUUUGAUACUGAAGAUCUUGAGUUCGGGAGAGGUGAGUGGAACUGCGAGUGUAGAGGUGAAAUUCGUAGAUAUUCGCAAGAACACCAGUGGCGAAGGCGGCUCACUGGCCCGAUACUGACGCUGAGGCACGAAAGCGUGGGGAGCAAACAGGAUUAGAAACCCGAGUAGUCCCA